CCCCACUGCUAUCGGGGUGGGACUAAGCCAUGCAAGUCGAAGGUCCCCAGCUCCGGGGGCCUGGCAGACAGCUCAGUAACACGUGGCCAACCUACCCUAGGGAGGGGGAUAACCCCGGGAAACUGGGGUUAAACCCCCAUAGGCGAUGGGUUCUGGAAGGACCCAUCGCUGAAAGUGGUGCAUGGGGAUGCUCCAUGCACCAGCCCUAGGAUGGGGCUGCGGCCCAUCAUGGUUGUUGGUGGGGUAACGGCCCACCAAGCCUAUAACGGGUACGGGCCCUGGGAGGGGGAGCCCGGAGAUGGGCUCUGAGACAAGAGCCCAGGCCCUACGGGGCGCAGCAGGCGCGAAACCUCCCCAAUGCCCGAAAGGGUGAGGGGGUCACCCCGAGUGCCACCCUCGUGGUGGCUUUUGCCGGGUCUAAAAAGCCCGGCGAAUAAGGGGAGGGCAAGACGGGUGUCAGCCGCCGCGGUAAUACCCGCUCCCCGAGUGGUGGGGACUAUUACUGGGCUUAAAGCGCCCGUAGCCGGCCGGGUGUGUCCUCCGUUAAAUCCACGGGCCUAACCCGUGGGCUGCGGAGGAUACUACCCGGCUUGGGGGUGGGAGAGGGCGGCGGUAUUCCCGGGGUAGGGGUAAAAUCCUCUGAUCCCGGGAGGACCACCAGUGGCGAAGGCGGCCGCCCAGAACACGCCCGACGGUGAGGGGCGAAAGCUGGGGGGAGCAAACGGGAUUAGAUACCCCGGUAGUCCCAGCCGUAAACGAUGCGGGCUAGGUGUCGGGUGGGCUACGGGCUCACCCGGUGCCGAAGGG
rnacentral:rRNA from 1 species